AACGAACGCUGGCGGCAGGCCUAACACAUGCAAGUCGAACGCUCGUAGCAAUACGAGAGUGGCAGACGGGUGAGUAACACGUGGGAACCUUCCCUAUGGUUCGGAAUAGCCCAGGGAAACUUGGGGUAAUACCGGAUAAGCCCUUCGGGGAAAGAUUUAUCGCCAUUGGAUGGGCCCGGCGUCGGAUUAGCUAGUUGGUGAGGUAACGGCUCACCAAGGCGACGAUCCGUAGCUGGUCUGAGAGGAUGAUCAGCCACACUGGGACUGAGACACGGCCCAGACUCCUACGGGAGGCAGCAGUGGGGAAUAUUGGACAAUGGGCGCAAGCCUGAUCCAGCCAUGCCGCGUGAGUGACGAA
rnacentral:rRNA from 1 species